rnacentral:rRNA from 1 species
UGGCGGCAGGCUUACACAUGCAGUCGAACGGGCCUUUCGGGGUCAGUGGCGGACGGGUGAGUAACGCGUGGGAACGUGCCCUAAGGUUCGGAACAACUGAGGGAAACUUCAGCUAAUACCGAAUGUGCCCGAGAGUGGGAAAGAUUUAUCGCCUUAGGAGCGGCCCGCGUCUGAUUAGCUAGUUGGUGGGGUAAAGUGCUUACCAAGGCUACGAUCAGUAGCUGGUCUGAGAGGAUGGCCAGCCACACUGGGACUGAGACACGGCCCAGACUCCUACGGGAGGCAGCAGUGGGGAAUCUUGCGCAAUGGGCGAAAGCCUGACGCAGCCAUGCCGCGUGGAUGAUGAACGGUCUUAGGAUUGUAAAAUCCUUUCAGCGGGGACGAUAAUGACGGUACCCGCAAGAAGAAGCCCCGGCUAACUUCGUGCCAGGCAGACGCGGUAAUACGAAGGGGGCUAGCGUUGCUCGGAAUUACUGGGCGUAAAGGGAGCGUAGCGGAUCGUUUACUCGGUGGGGUGAGAUCCCGGGGCUCAACCUCGGGAACUGCCUUCCGAAUACUGGCGAUCUUGA